UACGAGAGGUCCAAGCGUUAGUCGGAAUCACUGGGCUUAAAGGGUGCGUAGGCGGGCUUGUAAGUGUCUUGUGAAAUCCCAUGGCUCAACCAUGGAACUGCAGGGCAUACUGCAAGCCUUGAGGAAUCUAGAGGCCGGCAGAACGAUAGGUGGAGCGGUGGAAUGCGUAGAUAUCUAUCGGAAUGCCAAAGGUGAAGACAGCCGGCUGGGGAUUUCCUGACGCUGAGGCACGAAAGCGUGGGGAUCAAACAGG
rnacentral:rRNA from 1 species